rfam:Ciona savignyi cont_61062, whole genome shotgun sequence.
GGCGCCAUGGCUUAAUGGUAAAGCGCCUGUCUAGUAAACAGGAGAUCCUGGGUUCGAUCCCCAGUGGUGCCU